rnacentral:rRNA from 1 species
CCUACGGGGGACAGCAGUGAGGAAUAUUGGUCAAUGGACGAGAGUCUGAACCAGCCAAGUAGCGUGAAGGAUGACUGCCCUAUGGGUUGUAAACUUCUUUUAUAAAGGAAUAAAACGAGGCACGUGUGCCUUUUUGCAUGUACUUUAUGAAUAAGGAUCGGCUAACUCCGUGCCAGCAGCCGCGGUAAUACGGAGGAUCCGAGCGUUAUCCGGAUUUAUUGGGUUUAAAGGGAGCGUAGAUGGGUUGUUAAGUCAGUUGUGAAAGUUUGCGGCUCAACCGGAAAAGUGCAAUUGAAACUGGGAGUCUUGAGUACAGUUGAGGUAGGCGGAAUUCGUGGUGUAGCGGUGAAAUGCUUAGAUAUCACGAAGAACCCCGAUUGCGAAGGCAGCUUACUAAACUGUGACUGACAUUGAGGCUCGAAAGUGUGGGUAUCAAACAGGAUUAGAUACCCCAGUAGUC